rnacentral:rRNA from 1 species
UUAAGCGACUAAGCGUACACGGUGGAUGCCCUGGCAGUCAGAGGCGAUGAAGGACGUGCUAAUCUGCGAUAAGCGUCGGUAAGGUGAUAUGAACCGUUAUAACCGGCGAUUUCCGAAUGGGGAAACCCAGUGUGAUUCGUCACACUAUCAUUAACUGAAUCCAUAGGUUAAUGAGGCGAACCGGGGGAACUGAAACAUCUAAGUACCCCGAGGAAAAGAAAUCAACCGAGAUUCCCCCAGUAGCGGCGAGCGAACGGGGAGCAGCCCAGAGCCUGAAUCAGUGUGUGUGUUAGUGGAAGCGUCUGGAAAGGCGCGCGAUACAGGGUGACAGCCCCGUACACAAAAAUGCACAUACUGUGAGCUCGAUGAGUAGGGCGGGACACGUGGUAUCCUGUCUGAAUAUGGGGGGACCAUCCUCCAAGGCUAAAUACUCCUGACUGACCGAUAGUGAACCAGUACCGUGAGGGAAAGGCGAAAAGAACCCCGGCGAGGGGAGUGAAAAAGAACCUGAAACCGUGUACGUACAAGCAGUGGGAGCACGCUUAGGCGUGUGACUGCGUACCUUUUGUAUAAUGGGUCAGCGACUUAUAUUCUGUAGCAAGGUUAACCGAAUAGGGGAGCCGAAGGGAAACCGAGUCUUAACUGGGCGUUAAGUUGCAGGGUAUAGACCCGAAACCCGGUGAUCUAGCCAUGGGCAGGUUGAAGGUUGGGUAACACUAACUGGAGGACCGAACCGACUAAUGUUGAAAAAUUAGCGGAUGACUUGUGGCUGGGGGUGAAAGGCCAAUCAAACCGGGAGAUAGCUGGUUCUCCCCGAAAGCUAUUUAGGUAGCGCCUCGUGAAUUCAUCUCCGGGGGUAGAGCACUGUUUCGGCAAGGGGGUCAUCCCGACUUACCAACCCGAUGCAAACUGCGAAUACCGGAGAAUGUUAUCACGGGAGACACACGGCGGGUGCUAACGUCCGUCGUGAAGAGGGAAACAACCCAGACCGCCAGCUAAGGUCCCAAAGUCAUGGUUAAGUGGGAAACGAUGUGGGAAGGCCCAGACAGCCAGGAUGUUGGCUUAGAAGCAGCCAUCAUUUAAAGAAAGCGUAAUAGCUCACUGGUCGAGUCGGCCUGCGCGGAAGAUGUAACGGGGCUAAACCAUGCACCGAAGCUGCGGCAGCGACGCUUAUGCGUUGUUGGGUAGGGGAGCGUUCUGUAAGCCUGCGAAGGUGUGCUGUGAGGCAUGCUGGAGGUAUCAGAAGUGCGAAUGCUGACAUAAGUAACGAUAAAGCGGGUGAAAAGCCCGCUCGCCGGAAGACCAAGGGUUCCUGUCCAACGUUAAUCGGGGCAGGGUGAGUCGACCCCUAAGGCGAGGCCGAAAGGCGUAGUCGAUGGGAAACAGGUUAAUAUUCCUGUACUUGGUGUUACUGCGAAGGGGGGACGGAGAAGGCUAUGUUGGCCGGGCGACGGUUGUCCCGGUUUAAGCGUGUAGGCUGGUUUUCCAGGCAAAUCCGGAAAAUCAAGGCUGAGGCGUGAUGACGAGGCACUACGGUGCUGAAGCAACAAAUGCCCUGCUUCCAGGAAAAGCCUCUAAGCAUCAGGUAACAUCAAAUCGUACCCCAAACCGACACAGGUGGUCAGGUAGAGAAUACCAAGGCGCUUGAGAGAACUCGGGUGAAGGAACUAGGCAAAAUGGUGCCGUAACUUCGGGAGAAGGCACGCUGAUAUGUAGGUGAAGUCCCUCGCGGAUGGAGCUGAAAUCAGUCGAAGAUACCAGCUGGCUGCAACUGUUUAUUAAAAACACAGCACUGUGCAAACACGAAAGUGGACGUAUACGGUGUGACGCCUGCCCGGUGCCGGAAGGUUAAUUGAUGGGGUUAGCGCAAGCGAAGCUCUUGAUCGAAGCCCCGGUAAACGGCGGCCGUAACUAUAACGGUCCUAAGGUAGCGAAAUUCCUUGUCGGGUAAGUUCCGACCUGCACGAAUGGCGUAAUGAUGGCCAGGCUGUCUCCACCCGAGACUCAGUGAAAUUGAACUCGCUGUGAAGAUGCAGUGUACCCGCGGCAAGACGGAAAGACCCCGUGAACCUUUACUAUAGCUUGACACUGAACAUUGAGCCUUGAUGUGUAGGAUAGGUGGGAGGCUUUGAAGUGUGGACGCCAGUCUGCAUGGAGCCGACCUUGAAAUACCACCCUUUAAUGUUUGAUGUUCUAACGUGGACCCGUAAUCCGGGUUGCGGACAGUGUCUGGUGGGUAGUUUGACUGGGGCGGUCUCCUCCUAAAGAGUAACGGAGGAGCACGAAGGUUGGCUAAUCCUGGUCGGACAUCAGGAGGUUAGUGCAAUGGCAUAAGCCAGCUUGACUGCGAGCGUGACGGCGCGAGCAGGUGCGAAAGCAGGUCAUAGUGAUCCGGUGGUUCUGAAUGGAAGGGCCAUCGCUCAACGGAUAAAAGGUACUCCGGGGAUAACAGGCUGAUACCGCCCAAGAGUUCAUAUCGACGGCGGUGUUUGGCACCUCGAUGUCGGCUCAUCACAUCCUGGGGCUGAAGUAGGUCCCAAGGGUAUGGCUGUUCGCCAUUUAAAGUGGUACGCGAGCUGGGUUUAGAACGUCGUGAGACAGUUCGGUCCCUAUCUGCCGUGGGCGCUGGAGAACUGAGGGGGGCUGCUCCUAGUACGAGAGGACCGGAGUGGACGCAUCACUGGUGUUCGGGUUGUCAUGCCAAUGGCACUGCCCGGUAGCUAAAUGCGGAAGAGAUAAGUGCUGAAAGCAUCUAAGCACGAAACUUGCCCCGAGAUGAGUUCUCCCUGACUCCUUGAGAGUCCUGAAGGAACGUUGAAGACGACGACGUUGAUAGGCCGGGUGUGUAAGCGCAGCGAUGCGUUGAGCUAACCGGUACUAAUGAACCGUGAGGCUUAACCUU